AACUCCAUUAGUUUGAAUUUAAACACAAUGGAUACGAGAAAUUGGUGAAGUGUGAUUUUCUUUUGUUAGUGUUACAUAGGAUACUGUACAAAACUUCUCACUUGGGCUUGUUGCUGGAAGGAAGAUGUUUUAAGGAUUUCCACUGGGAAGCAAAUAUUGCAUUUCUAUUAAAAAAAAGAGAGAAAAAAAGUGUUUUUUAUAAGCUCUGUUGCUACUGCUCUCUAAUGGAGAAAAAACUUCUGAAUUUAUUUUAAGUAAAAGGCCUACAGCAAGUAAGUUGACUUACAGAUAAAUAAAAAAAUAAUAAUUUUGGUGAAAAAAAAUAGAAUUUCUAAAAGCAUUAAUUUUUCAGAACUAUUAUUGUGAUAAAUGACAAGUGAAGGGAGGCAUUUCUUGUGAAAAUGCUUUUUUUCAAGAAUUGUUGUACUAUAUUUAUGCCUUUUAAAAGAAACAACUCUCUUCUAGGGCCCAAACAUAUGAACACUCUGGUGCCAUGACCAGAUUAUGUCUCUAAAAAGACACAGAAUAGAGACACAAAAAUUUAGUAGCUGUCUUGUAUUGUACUUGAAAUAUGGAGUACUGCAAGGCCUGAAGGCAGAGAAGAGAUAGUGUAAGGAUGUCUGGAUUUUUUUUCUUUUUUUCCCCAGUAAUUAAACAAGUGAAUCUCACUGCUUCUGUGGUUGUAGCAGGUCCUAUCUAUUGCUUACUGAAAAGAAAGGAAGAAAGAAAUCCACUCUUUAGAAAGUGCGUUUAAGCUCUCUUGUUUGCUUUGGACUUAUUUUGAUGGUAAUAUAGGAAGGGCAUAUGUUUCUCUGAGCUUGUACUUCCAACUUCAGUCUUCUGAGACAUCUUUUGACACACACACUGAAUUGGAGAUUCUUUUCCCCACAGGGUGCUUGCAGAUGACAUGCAACUCUGUGAUUUUCACAGCAGCAGCUCCAACUGGUCUGUGGCUUUAAGUUAUCUAACAACUAUCAAUACGAGGAUGGAGAUUCUCUUGCCUGUGUAUCUAUAAUGCUCUUUACAUGUAAAAUUAAGGAGAAGAGCAGAGAAAACACACAAAUACCUGCUGUCAUAUCUUAAAUCCUAGAUAAAAUGCUGUUCAAGUUUGUUAUAAUUUACAGAUGGAAUGGCUGACAUUCAUAUACCCUGAUGUUCAGUCUUCCCUGUUUCAGCAUUAGCCUGAAAGGAAAAAGCUAUAUUUGGUUAUGCCAUCUGGGAGGUUAACCAGUGACAUCUGCAGCACCGUGGUCAGACUACAUGCUCUGAAGUAGGAUAAAGCGAAGAUGAGAUCUGCGUGUGAACCACAGGGACACUUGAUUGGAUAGCUCUGGAGGCUGACACAGAAAUUCAGUGCUGUAAAAGUAACAGGGAACCUUGUAGUAAGCAUGACAGUGACUGGUAUUAUUUUGAAUUUUACAUAGUUUACUUGACUUGUGUAUGAUUUCUUUCAGAGUGCAUACCGCAGAAGGAAGUGUUUCUAAGACUUCUGUUUUGCUUUUUUUAAGUAUUUAACUAUCAGAUAAAAUAGGUUGAGAUUGUCUUUACCCACACUGAGUGCUGUGCCUAAUUCUAAAAGCAGUUUCCAAAAUCUUUGAUUUGUUUAAGUAAGCUGCAUGUGUGAAAUUAUGUGAUAAGUGCUGCAGAAGGUUCAAGCAAUACUGUUUCUCUCAAAUAAGAGAACUGUUUUUUUUUUUCCUGAAAUAUUUUUGAAACGUUAAAACGUUUUUCAUUUUCCCCCAGAUUUUUGAAUAUAAAAUUCAAUCUUACAGUAUGAGCUGAGUAUUUUGGUUUUAGAUCAUGAGCUUUCCUAUGUUCUCAAACACAAAUGGAUUUAAGACCAUGUAUGGCAGCCUACCUUUCUCUUCCUUGAAACUCUCAUAGGCCUGUAGCUAGGCUAGAGCCUAGUAGAAAUAAUUUGAAAGCUUUAUUGUGAUGUCUUGACUCUAUGGUGUCUUGGGAUGCUCUUAAUUGCUUUUGAUGAUAAUUGUUGGCCUGUAUACCCUGAUAAUUAUGGUGAAAAUGAUCAUUUAGCAGAGUUUAGACUUUGCAGAUAAUUAAUACUCUUUUUGUUAUUAUUGAACUAAUUGCUGCUUCAGUUUCAAAUCAAUCUGUAAAGCAUAAUGAGCUAUAGGUUUUUGUAACUGCCUACAAAAAAGCCAAGUUAGGAACAAUUUGUGUGGUUGAACUUUUUAUUUGUUAAUAUCAUCCCCUAAAUUAAUAAUAAAAUACAUUGAUU
rnacentral:lncRNA from 1 species